GCCCUUCUUCAAACUUGCAAUUUGAUGUGAGAUCACCUCGGGGCUUGGUAAGAAGAGGAGUCA
rnacentral:tRNA from 1 species